rnacentral:rRNA from 1 species
ACAACUAGGAUGUUGGCUUAGAAGCAGCCAUCAUUUAAAGAGUGCGUAAUAGCUCACUAGUCGAGUGACACUGCGCCGAAAAUGUACCGGGGCUAAACAUAUUACCGAAGCUGUGGAUUGUCCUUUGGACAAUGGUAGGAGAGCGUUCUAAGGGCGUUGAAGCAUGAUCGUAAGGACAUGUGGAGCGCUUAGAAGUGAGAAUGCCGGUGUGAGUAGCGAAAGACGGGUGAGAAUCCCGUCCACCGAUUGACUAAGGUUUCCAGAGGAAGGCUCGUCCGCUCUGGGUUAGUCGGGUCCUAAGCUGAGGCCGACAGGCGUAGGCGAUGGAUAACAGGUUGAUAUUCCUGUACCACCUAUAAUCGUUUUAAUCGAUGGGGGGACGCAGUAGGAUAGGCGAAGCGUGCGAUUGGAUUGCACGUCUAAGCAGUAAGGCUGAGUAUUAGGCAAAUCCGGUACUCGUUAAGGCUGAGCUGUGAUGGGGAGAAGACAUUGAGUCUUCGAGUCGUUGAUUUCACACUGCCGAGAAAAGCCUCUAGAUAGAAAAUAGGUGCCCGUACCGCAAACCGACACAGGUAGUCAAGAUGAGAAUUCUAAGGUGAGCGAGCGAACUCUCGUUAAGGAACUCGGCAAAAUGACCCCGUAACUUCGGGAGAAGGGGUGCUCUUUAGGGUUAACGCCCAGAAGAGCCGCAGUGAAUAGGCCCAAGCGACUGUUUAUCAAAAACACAGGUCUCUGCUAAACCGUAAGGUGAUGUAUAGGGGCUGACGCCUGCCCGGUGCUGGAAGGUUAAGAGGAGUGGUUAGCUUCUGCGAAGCUACGAAUCGAAGCCCCAGUAAACGGCGGCCGUAAC